UCAGCGGCCGGGGCUGCUGCGGGUCCGCCGCUCUAGAAGCGUCCGAGGCCCGGCUCAGCCCGGAGUCCGACGUGAGCCCGGCGGCCAGGAGCCGCCGCGGUGGCAUUCCCCCUCCUCCGGCCGUUUGAACCCGUGACCCCCUCCGCAUCGCUCCGGCUCCCCUGCACGCCCUGUCUGGAGCCGCCCUUCAGGACGUGGGGCCAAGGAGGCCGCCUGAGCGAGCCGGCGCUGUCCCCGUUCUCUGGGCGCCUCACUCCCUUCGCGCCCCUCCGGGUCCCCAUAGACGACCCGCUCAACCCUCCUCGGGUUUUCUGCGGUUGCCUGCAGCCGGGAGGAGCAAGUGCAUGGGCUCCGGGCUCCCUCUCACCGGUUGUGGGGGUGAACGAGCCAGGACUGAUGUGGAAUGCCUGGAGGCGGUGGAGUACAAGAAUUUUAUGCUGAUCAUAAACCUGAAUCCCAAGUGCUGUGAACAAGCUGAACCAACAUCAAACAUAGAAUAAGAAAUUUUCUCUCGUCUGGAAUAUCUGUCACAAAACAAAGAUCAAAUUUAUUGAAUAAGAAAGAAACCUCUGGAACUCUUAGUAUAUCCCUGUCACAGAAGAAUAAUUCAUUGUUUAUUAUGUGGUUUCUCUUUACAUUUUAAAAACAUGUAAAAAGUGUUAUGAAAAUACAAAAUAAC